UGUCAAUCAAACUGUGACACACUUCCUUACAUUUACAAUUUUUAUUCUAUCUUGACUGAAAGAGCGCCUUUAGACGUGUCUAGACAGUUCUAUCACAUGUCCCUGCCGCCUUCCAUUAUGGCUUGGGGUGUACUAUUGCUGAUGCUUUUCUACGCACCUCAAUAACAAAACAAUCCAGCUUUAUCUUUGCAAGUGUCUUUCUUUCUUUUGGUCCCAUUUAGGACUUGGUUGUGGCUUCGGAACAUGGAAUGGAGACCAUUCUUUUUGUUGUUGUUGUUGUUACUGGGGAUUGAACUCAGGGGCACCUGAGUUAAGUUGCUCAGUGCCUCCCUGUUGCUGAGGCUGGCUUUGAACUCUCUAUCCUCCUGCCUCAGCCUCCUGAGCCUAGCGGUUGGGAUUACAGGUGUGUGACACUGUGCUCUGCUAGAGACCAUUCUUAUUGUUUCUUCCACAAAUACCUCUGCUACUCUGCUUCAGUAGUCACAACCUUUUGUUUCCAUUUUGAGUUGCAGGGAAUCUUUGUGAAAACUUAAAAAAAAAAAAAAAAAAGCACUAAGUUUCACAUUGCAUCAACAAUGCACAUGCCUCAAAUGGCGAAAUGUAAAUAGAGAGGUGAACCAUGAUCUGCCCCAUAUAGGUAGUGACAACUGCGUCAAAGAGUAGUCUGGCAGAUGGCGGAUCAUGAUAUGCAUCCUGGUUUCAGAGAGACUUAAAACGAACAGAAAUUUCUCUAACAACAUAAACCCAGAAGAACGUAUGUGCUUACUUAAACAAUGUCCUCAUUUUGAACUUUAUGAACCAAACCAAACCAAAGACCUCAAUGUAGUAUUUUUUUUCUUUAAAACUAUUCCCAAAUUCUCUGCAGGGAUUCUCAGAUUCUUCCAGGUAAAUAGCAGGACACUGGAAGUCAUCUGGAUGGAAAUAGGUCUCACUAUGGGAUAGGUGCAGGUGCUAACUUGGUGUGACCCAUACAACUAUCUUCACACUUGCCGGCCCACCCCACUUCCCUCUCGUGAGCUCAAAAAGGAUCUUGGUUGACAUACUGAAUUAUGCAUAAGAGUGUGAAGGGCUGAUCAUUUUAAAUAAGAAAAUCAGAAUUGAACCAUAGCUAGAUUUUUGAAGCAUGUGCUUAGCACAUAUGCCAAAAGAAUGUGUAAAGGAAGAAGCCAAAUUAGAAAUUUAUAUCCAUGUUAAAAAAAAUGGUUAGAUGACAUUUAAAGUAAGAUCUGACAAGCUCCUGCUACAAGCUUAGAAGUCUGCCUGGCUCCUUAAACCCCUUUCUGAGCUGGGCUUGCCAGAUUCUGUCUGGUAGAGUGGGAUCUGGUGAUGGGGGAGGACACUGGUGGGGCAGAGCGGGCACUGGGUCAUUACGAGGAGUCUAACCCCAAACCCAUUCUUUCCACCUCACCCUGAUUCACAGAGGUGCUGCUAGAAUCCAAU
rnacentral:lncRNA from 1 species